AGCACACUGAAGCUGUUUCCUCAUACUAUUUGACUAUUUCUGAGAAAAUUAUUUCUUUUUAGUUGGAUUGCUGUGGAAUAGCUGGUACAAUUGAGAUAAUUAUUCGACCCACCUGCCCAAGUACCUCCAUUGAAGGAGAGCUUAAGAGACAGUCAUGCAUAACUGCAAUUAAAGACGUAUUCGACAGAAAGGUUUAUAUCAUCGGAGCAAUUGGGAUUGGCAUUGGAAUUAUAAUGAUUUUUGGUAUGAUCUUCAGCAUGGUGCUGUGCUGUGCCAUUCGCAACAGCAAAGAGAUGAUUUAAAGAGAAAGUUGAAACAAUAAUGCCAUUCAGUAAUGGAAUGCAUUUUUGCCUAAUAUUUGCUUCUUGUUAACAGCUUAACUUCAGCAUUUAAUUAUUUUUCCUUUUUUGUAUUCAGUUUAAAAGCUAACUUUUUUAAAAAAAAAGACUCACUAUCUGUUUAAUGUACCCACAACAUUUUGGUUUUGUUUAACAAGUUAAAUAUCAGUGUGUACUUGGAAAUGAAGUUUUCUUUAAGGUUAUCAUAAAUUUAAAGCUAUAUAUUUGUCUUAUCUGUUUAAUUUGGAAAUGUUUGUUCUUGAAUGGUUGCAAACCUUGGAUUCAGAAUUUAAAAUGUUGAACUAGUUAAGCUAAAUAGGUAUUACAAAUAUUAGAUGUUUUCCAAAUUGUGAUGGUUCAAAUGAGCACAUGCUAUUGUGGAAUCUUCACCUUAUCAAUAAAUCCUUGAAGGUAUUUUGAUUAUUUUAAAGUCACAAACUGUAGAUACCAGAUUUGCCUUUUUUCUUUGAGAAAAUAAAGUUUAAACUUGAACCUCCA